GUGGCGCGCUGCGCGAAGGCCGCCCCCGAGGGCCGCGCGGGCAGCGAGGGCGUUAAACGCCUUUUGUUGCCAGCGCAUUAAUCUUAGACGUAAUCCCGCUGUUUUUGUCUUAUGCUUAGCGUACAGGUUUUUCUCAUACUGAGAUUUAAUGUUUUUUCUGAUGCUCUUAAAAAUGACUUUACAAAUUUGCAGAGAUUGCAAAUACAAUUUUCUAGCCUCAAAAAUGGGGCUGUCAGACAAGGCCUUCACCCUUUUUAUCGUUUAAUUUAAAAGGAAAACGUAAUCGGGCGGUUAAGCCCGGCUAGCAAGCAUUUACAGCCUCUAGACCGGGGUGUCAAAGCUACAGCUGUGACAUAGACACCUGCCAGGAGAAUUCAUAUGGUCUGAGGUCCACUACCCACCCGCAGCAGUCUUUCAGGAGUUUCGUCUUUGAUUAGCUUGCUCUUACCUGGCAUCAGAACUGAUCAAGGAGUACUUCCCUGGGCACUCCGGAUCUUUUGGGCCACAUGAGGGAAGAGAAAGACAAGGAAGGACUCUUUAAGAGCAGACUGAUUUCAUUCCAGGAGGCAGGACCAGAAGCAGGUAGACUGCGAUAUUCUUCUCUCUGUUUGCAAUGUGGAUAUAUCUGCUUCAGUAUACACCGUUCUUUAGAAGUUAUCGACCUUGGAAAUAAUGUCUGCAGUCCCCUAGUUCUCCG
rnacentral:lncRNA from 1 species